UACAGAGGGUGCAAGCGUUGUUCGGAAUUACUGGGCGUAAAGCGAGUGUAGGCGGUUCGAUAAGUCGGAUGUGAAAGCCCCGGGCUCAACCGGGGAACUGCGUCUGAUACUGGGUGGCUUGAAUCCGGGAGAGGGAUGCGGAAUUCCAGGUGUAGCGGUGGAAUGCGCAGAUAUCAGGAGGAACACCGGUGGCGAAGGCGGAUCUCUGGGCCAUUACUGACGCUGAGGAGCGAAAGCGUGGGAGCGAACAG
rnacentral:rRNA from 1 species